rnacentral:rRNA from 1 species
CUACGGGCGGCAGCAGUCAAGAAUCUUCCCCAAUGCACGAAAGUGUGAGGGAGCGACGCCGCGUGACUGAUGAAGUCCUUCGGGAUGUAAAGGUCUUUUCUUAGGGACGAACGUUGACGGUACCUAAGGAAUAAGGGGCUGCUAAUCACGUGCCAGCAGCAGCGGUAUACGUGAGCCCCAAGCGUUAUCCGAAUUUAUUGGGCGUAAAGCGUCCGCAGGUGGUUUGAUAUGUCUUGCUUCAAAUCUUGGUGCUUAACAUCAAGACCGGGUGAGAAACUGUCAGACUAGAGGUUGGAAGGGGUUAGCGGAAUGGCUGGUGUAGGGGUAAAAUCCGUUAAUAUCAGCUGGAACACCAAAUGCGAAGGCAGCUAACUGGGACACACCUGACACUCAUGGACGAAAGCGUGGGUAGCGAACGGGAUUAGAUACCCUGGUAGUC